rnacentral:rRNA from 1 species
ACGCUCGACACCUACGGGGGGCAGCAGUGGGGAAUAUUGCACAAUGGGGGAAACCCUGAUGCAGCGACGCCGCGUGAGCGAAGAAGUAUUUCGGUAUGUAAAGCUCUAUCAGCAGGGAAGAAGAAAGACGGUACCUGACUAAGAAGCCCCGGCUAACUACGUGCCCGCAGCCGCGGUAAUCUGAGCGGGCUGGCAAGGC